UUCUUUGGAUGCUGUGUCUAUCCCUCAUU
rnacentral:piRNA from 1 species